rnacentral:tRNA from 1 species
GUAUUGGUGGUUCAGUGGUAGAAUUCUCACCUUCCAUGUGGGAGAACUGGGUUCGCUUCCCUGGCAGUGCA